GGCAAAUUCCCCAUAAAUGAUUCAAAACAAAGCAAACCUACAAGUGAUGCUUUGAGUACUCACACUCCUUGAUGAAUAGGUGUAUGGAGGGGACAGUUUUUACCGUUGCUGGGCGCAGCACCACCCUCCAUUCCUGGGUUCAGACUCUCAGCAGCAGAGUCUCUCGCAUCCACGAGCUCCUGUGACGCCAUUGGUGCCUGCACUGUCCAUCCACAGGCACCACUCCUGUGGGUUGAGGCUUUUUAACUGCCAUGAGAGAAAAAGAAAGCUACAUUAAUGGAUUUGAGGAUUCUGCCGUCAGCCCUGAAAUGCAUCACAAUAAAUGUCAUCUGGGAUACACACAGAAUGGUAUAUGUUUACCUGGAGACAAACCUGGCACUAGGGCAAAAGAGGGGAUAAAUAUGGAGUAUAUGGCUGGAUACAGGAGAGCUGCUGAAAGUAUCAGUUUCCUCAGAAUCAAUUUUUGGGAAAAUAUUAUUACAGUGGACAAAGGCUUAUUGUAGAAUGCCCUCUGACUAACCCACAGCAGAUUCAGCCUCUGUUAUGCAACUGAUGGAUGGCCACAGAACACAAAGUCUGACAGACUUUGUGGGAGUUAAAGGGGCCAGCAUAUAAAUACUGAUCAAGAUAGCAAAUAAGAUCACCAAGACCAGACAAACAAUAUAAGCCAAUUAUAAUGUCAUGUCCCUUAUGUUAUUAGUGAGAUUAUGUUGCAGCUCUG